rnacentral:rRNA from 1 species
GCUCAGGAUGAACGCUAGUGGCAAGCUUAAUACAUGCAAGUCGAGGGGCAGCAGGUUUGUAGCAAUACAAAUGCUGGCGACCGGCAAACGGGUGCGGAACACGUACAGAACCUUCCUUUAAGUGGGGAAUAGCCCAGGGAAACUUGGAUUAAUACCCCGUAAUAUAUAGAAGUGGCAUCACUUUUAUAUUAUAGCUCCGGCGCUUGAAGAUGGCUGUGCGGCUGAUUAGGUAGUUGGCGGGGUAACGGCCCACCAAGCCUUCGAUCAGUAACUGGUGUGAGAGCACGACCAGUCACACGGGCACUGAGACACGGGCCCGACUCCUACGGGAGGCAGCAGUAAGGAAUAUUGGGCAAUGGACGCAAGUCUGACCCAGCUAUGCCGCGUGGAGGAUGAAGGUCCUCUGGAUUGUAAACUUCUUUUAUCUGGGAAGAAACCUAUUUUUUCUAAAAUAGCUGACGGUACCAGGUGAAUAAGCACCGGCUAACUCCGUGCCAGCAGCCGCGGUAAUACGGAGGGUGCAAGCGUUAUCCGGAUUCACUGGGUUUAAAGGGUGCGUAGGUGGGUUGGUAAGUCAGUGGUGAAAUCUCCGAGCUUAACUUGGAAACUGCCAUUGAUACUAUCAGUCUUGAAUACCGUGGAGAUGAGCGGAAUAUGUCAUGUAGCGGUGAAAUGCUUAGAUAUGACAUAGAACACCAAUUGCGAAGGCAGCUCGUUACACGAAUAUUGACACUCAGGCACGAAAGCGUGGGGAUCAAACAGGAUUAGAUACCCUGAUAGUCCACGCCCUAACGAUGGAUACUCGACAUACGCGAUACACAGUGUGUGUCUGAGCGAAAGCAUUAAGUAUCCCAYCUGGGAAGUACGAUCGCAAGAUUGAAACUCAAAGGAAUUGGCGGGGGG